ACGAAAGUCGGAAGUGCCCAAAGCCGGUGGGGUAACCUUCGGGAGCCAGCCGUCUAAGGUAAAGUCGAUGAUUGGGGUGAAGUCGUAACAAGGUAGCCGUAUCGGAAGGUGCGGCUGGAUCACCUCCUUUCUAGGGAGA
rnacentral:rRNA from 1 species